rnacentral:rRNA from 1 species
AAAUUGAAGAGUUUGAUCAUGGCUCAGAUUGAACGCUGGCGGCAGGCCUAACACAUGCAAGUCGAGCGGUAGCACAGAGAGCUUGCUCUCGGGUGACGAGCGGCGGACGGGUGAGUAAUGUCUGGGAAACUGCCUGAUGGAGGGGGAUAACUACUGGAAACGGUAGCUAAUACCGCAUAACGUCGCAAGACCAAAGUGGGGGACCUUCGGGCCUCAUGCCAUCAGAUGUGCCCAGAUGGGAUUAGCUAGUAGGUGGGGUAACGGCUCACCUAGGCGACGAUCCCUAGCUGGUCUGAGAGGAUGACCAGCCACACUGGAACUGAGACACGGUCCAGACUCCUACGGGAGGCAGCAGUGGGGAAUAUUGCACAAUGGGCGCAAGCCUGAUGCAGCCAUGCCGCGUGUGUGAAGAAGGCCUUCGGGUUGUAAAGCACUUUCAGCGGGGAGGAAGGCGGUGAGGUUAAUAACCUCAUCGAUUGACGUUACCCGCAGAAGAAGCACCGGCUAACUCCGUGCCAGCAGCCGCGGUAAUACGGAGGGUGCAAGCGUUAAUCGGAAUUACUGGGCGUAAAGCGCACGCAGGCGGUCUGUCAAGUCGGAUGUGAAAUCCCCGGGCUCAACCUGGGAACUGCAUUCGAAACUGGCAGGCUAGAGUCUUGUAGAGGGGGGUAGAAUUCCAGGUGUAGCGGUGAAAUGCGUAGAGAUCUGGAGGAAUACCGGUGGCGAAGGCGGCCCCCUGGACAAAGACUGACGCUCAGGUGCGAAAGCGUGGGGAGCAAACAGGAUUAGAUACCCUGGUAGUCCACGCCGUAAACGAUGUCGAUUUGGAGGUUGUGCCCUUGAGGCGUGGCUUCCGGAGCUAACGCGUUAAAUCGACCGCCUGGGGAGUACGGCCGCAAGGUUAAAACUCAAAUGAAUUGACGGGGGCCCGCACAAGCGGUGGAGCAUGUGGUUUAAUUCGAUGCAACGCGAAGAACCUUACCUGGUCUUGACAUCCACAGAACUUUCCAGAGAUGGAUUGGUGCCUUCGGGAACUGUGAGACAGGUGCUGCAUGGCUGUCGUCAGCUCGUGUUGUGAAAUGUUGGGUUAAGUCCCGCAACGAGCGCAACCCUUAUCCUUUGUUGCCAGCGGUUCGGCCGGGAACUCAAAGGAGACUGCCAGUGAUAAACUGGAGGAAGGUGGGGAUGACGUCAAGUCAUCAUGGCCCUUACGACCAGGGCUACACACGUGCUACAAUGGCAUAUACAAAGAGAAGCGACCUCGCGAGAGCAAGCGGACCUCAUAAAGUAUGUCGUAGUCCGGAUUGGAGUCUGCAACUCGACUCCAUGAAGUCGGAAUCGCUAGUAAUCGUAGAUCAGAAUGCUACGGUGAAUACGUUCCCGGGCCUUGUACACACCGCCCGUCACACCAUGGGAGUGGGUUGCAAAAGAAGUAGGUAGCUUAACCUUCGGGAGGGCGCUUACCACUUUGUGAUUCAUGACUGGGGUGAAGUCGUAACAAGGUAACCGUAGGGGA